AUUGAACGCUGGCGGCAGGCUUAACACAUGCAAGUCGAGCGGAGCGAGGGUGCUUGCACCUUAGCUUAGCGGCGGACGGGUGAGUAAUGCUUAGGAAUCUGCCUAUUAGUGGGGGACAACAUUCCGAAAGGAAUGCUAAUACCGCAUACGCCCUACGGGGGAAAGCAGGGGAUCUUCGGACCUUGCGCUAAUAGAUGAGCCUAAGUCGGAUUAGCUAGUUGGUGGGGUAAAGGCCUACCAAGGCGACGAUCUGUAGCGGGUCUGAGAGGAUGAUCCGCCACACUGGGACUGAGACACGGCCCAGACUCCUACGGGAGGCAGCAGUGGGGAAUAUUGGACAAUGGGGGCAACCCUGAUCCAGCAAUGCCGCGUGUGUGAAGAAGGCCUUCGGGUUGUAAAGCACUUUAGUUGGGGAAGAAGUUUAGUAGUUUAAGAGAUGAUUAAAUUGACUGUACCCAAGGAAUAAGCACCGGCUAACUCUGUGCCAGCCGCCGCUGUAAAAC
rnacentral:rRNA from 1 species